CUCCAUCUGCCGGGGUGAAGUGCGCGAGCCCAGGACUGAGACAGCUAGCUCCUUCAGGGGAUGGGGGCACAUCUGGGGAUAGGAAGGGGUGGGGACAAGAAAUACUGAUCGAAGUCAUGGUCUAUUUACAGGGGACAAGAAGCCAAAACGGAUGGGAUGGGUGGUCUGUUUUUAAAAAAUGAACAAAAACCCCGUUAGGGCAGGGGCAUGAAGUGGCAAAAUGAGAUGGAUUUUGAAAGGGGAGGAGACCUGGGGGAGGGGGUCUCACCUCCCUUGGUCCAAGCCCCAAUUUGGGGUUAAAGUGGGGAAACAGAGUCGAUUUCACUUAGAAGGCAGGCUGCCAGCAGGGCAGCCCUGGUCUCCAAAAAGAUGAGUAGUAGUAAAAUUUUGCCCUCCAGUCAAAACAUUGGAAAAACAGUAGGGGGUGGGGGUGAGGCUGACUCCCUGCAAUGUCAGUAGGCUUCCAGGCAUCGCCCUGGGCUGGGCAGACAGGGCAGCACAGGAUAGGACCUGACUCUCCAGGGAGAAAUGUUCCCCUUGCCUAAGACCAGGGUCUCUGUAGCCAGACCCCCUUUCCUCCCUGGCAUUCCCAGCCUUGACCAGGAAACCUGGACCCCAGAGAGGCCACAUAACAGUUCCAAGAGGAGGUUAUGGCUAUUUGGCACCUGGAAGAGGGGAGGCACAAGGAGAAAUUAAGGGCUGCUGCCCCAGGCAAUGGGGAGCUGGGGACCAGGUGUCCUGAACUCUCCCUUUUUCCCACUCUCACUCCCCUUUUCCCGAAGGACACAUGAGAAAUCAGUGCAGGGCCAGGGCCAGGCCCAGCCUCCCGGCUCUGGGGUGGACUCUAUCCCUCCCAGGACAGGGAACAGGGAUGGGGGAGGUGUUGAGGCAACGCCCCCACCCCCCAGGCAGGAGGGUCAGAAUGCAACAGAGACGGCACAAUGAUGGGGGGAGAGGGAAGGGCCGAGAAGGUAGAAUCUCAAGUCAAGAGGCCCAGGGGCCACCCAGGUGCCCCAUGGGCAGGGAGCAGCCCCCAGUUGGCAGAUGCUGGGAGAGCCCCAGCCCCGUUCCAGUCCAGAGACAAAAGCUGGAGUGUGUAAAGUCUGGCAGUUUGAUCUGCAGGUGCUUGUGUCCAUCGACCACCAGGCCAGCCCUCGGCAGCCCUCGGCCUCUGUGCCUCAGCCCCAUGGGGCAAGAAAGAGGCUGCCCUUCUAGCCACCUCUGUCUGCCCAGGCCAUCUUAAGGGGGCCUGUGAUAUGAGCCCUCUGGUCCCUGAAGCUGGGGGAGGUGGGGUGGAGGGGUGGGGGGAGUCGGGGCACCUGUCCCCAGGCUGGUAGGGGGAGGGGUGGGGUGUUGAGGACAGGGGAGGGAGGACAAUGGGAGGGGGGUUAAUUAUUGUCCAGUUAUGGAAUGAUUCCUGUUAAGUAGAAUUGGAAUUCCUCAGUGUUUGCAAGUUUCCUUCCAGUUCUGAGAUCUGGAAAACAAAGGAGGGUAGGGGGUCAGGUCUGGACACCAGGCAUGAUCCCAGCCCCUUCCGCCCCCCGAUGAGGACAUGGCAUCCCCUCCCUCCAGGACCCACAGGGUAGGGGCUUCAGUGCUGCUCCCUCCACUGGGCCCUGCCCACAGGGCGCCCCGGGCCCACCUUGUCCAGGAGCUUGUCCAUCUCCUCCUUUCUGGCCAGCUCCGACUCCUCCAGAACCCGACGCUGUGCAGUCUCCUUUUUCAGGAACUCGAUCUCCCUGGGCACAGGCAAGGGACAGAUGGCAGAGCCCCAUGCCAGCGUGUGAUGAUGACACAGUCACUGGUUUGCAGAUGCACAAGAACAACGAUCAACUCUGGCUUUGCCCGUCAUGGUGAUGAGAACAAUACUGGACAUCUAGAAGGUACCCAGAGGAUGUCUCUCCACAGGGAACAGCUCCAACCUCUCCACACGCUUCUCCAGCUCGUACUCAGCAGAGGCUGCCAUGGGAUCCACAUCCUCGUUGCGACGAUCGUAAUCCUCGUUGGAGUCUUUAAUCCAUCUGGAAUUCAUAUUUAUGGAUGGUGUGAAGAUUUUUCAUAAGAAAAGCCAAUUGUCACAACACAUUUUACUGAAGUCUAUUCUCUCUCACUGAGUUGCAGUGCCGCCACUAUCAUAAAUCACAUUCCCACAUAUACUUGGAUCUGUUUCUGGGCACUCUAUUCUAUUGAUUCCUUUGUCUAGCCCGGCACCGAUACCACAUUGUUUUAAUUACUAUCGCUUUCAAAAAAGUCUUGGUAUUUGUUAGGGCCAGGUCUCUUUCCUUAUUCUUUUUCAGAACUGUCUACUUUUUUCUUGGGUCUUUGCUCUUCUCUAUGAAUUUUAGAAUCAGUUUGCCUAGCUCUGUGAAAAAUCCUGUUGGAAUAUUUAUUGGACCGGCCAUGAAUCAACAGAUUAACGUGGAGAGACUCGCCUUCAUAACAUGGAGGCAUCUCAUACUUAACCUAAUACUUCUCUAUGGCUCUCCAUUUAUUACUAUUGCAGCCUAUGCUUUACUUCCUAAAUAUCUUGCAAUGAGUUUU
rnacentral:lncRNA from 1 species